AUACUUACCUGGACGGGGUCAAUGGGUGAGACCUCCAUUGCACUUUGGAGGGGUGCCUGCCUAAGGUCGGCCCAAGUGGCCGAGCCUAUGUCAUAAUUUGUGGCAGUGGGGGCUUGCGUUCGUGCGGCGCCGAC
rnacentral:snRNA from 1 species